rnacentral:lncRNA from 1 species
AUCGUAUCAGCAAACAAAAAAAUACAAAAAACCCCCAAACCCCAGACACCAUGUUGUUGGGAAAGCACUUUCUACUCCAGCAAGAAGCUGAGGGGCAGCUCCAGUCCAGAGGUGUCCCAAGCUGCAGCAGUAGCGGCUCCGUUGGAGAGCACUUCCUUUGCAUGCGGAAGGUGCCAAGGCCAGUCUCUUGAAAACAUCUCCAGGUGGGGCUGGGAGAGCAAUUAACUGCUAUUAAUUUAUCACAGAAUCAUAAGAACAUAGGAAGAGCCUGAUGGAUCAGAUCAUCAGACUGUCCAGUUCUGUUCCCACAGUGGCCAACCAGAGGCUCCAGAGGAACCCCAAAGGCAGGACCUGAGGGCAACAGCACUCUGCCCACCUGCGAUUCCCAACAUCCGGUAUCCUGAGGCAGGGCUUGCCCAAGACAUUUUAGCACCUGAGGCAAACCACGAAAUGGCCCUCUCCACCCAACAGGGAAGAACAGGUGAGUGAAGACCUACAUCAGGAACAGGGGGUUGGGGAUAAAUAUCGACUUUGGGAACAAGGGAGGAGUAAAGCGAUGACAACAGUGGACAAUGCGUUCCUUGGAGGCAAGAUACGCUGCCCCUGUAGAUCUUGUGGCCUGAAGCGGCUGCCUCGCUUUGCCUCAUGGGUAGGCCAUCCCUGUUCGGAGGUGUACUGCCUCUGACUGUGGCAGCAGAACAUGGCCAUUGUGGAUGAGGCUUGUUGAUCAUAGAGUUGUAGGCUUUCUUGUAUCCUGGCUAGCCAUACCCUCUGCUCCAUGGAGGGAAUCCAGAGCCAUUGUGUUCCCAAGGUGUUCUCUUUCAUAGGCCUCCUAGGAGAGAGAGCCCGUCAUCCUUUCAGGGAAGCGGAUCCCUUGCCCAGCCACUCUUACUCUCAUGAAGUUUCACCUAAUGUUCAACCCAAAUCUACCCAAGCUCUUAGAUCUCACCUUGCCCUCUGGAGCCACAGCAGAAAAUAAAUACUUGGCUUCUUGUGUGGGACAUCCUGCUGGGUAUGUUUCAUGUCAAAUGCCUUGGCUAGCCUUCCUCAACAUGGUGCCCGCCAGAUAUUUGUGGGGCUCUAGCUCCCAUUAACCCCAGCAAGCUUGAUCAAUAGUCAGUAUGAUGGAAAUUGUAGCUAUGUAUAUCAGCCCCUUCAAGUAUCCCUCUUUUCCAGGGACAGUCUUGGGUUUACAGAAGCUGUCCCAUUUUCUGAUUUGAUCCCGGAAUGCCCCACUUUUCCUUAGGGUGUGGAAUUAUGUGACCCCUGAGCCAAGGAGAUAAGUAACUACAGAACCUUUAGAAGACAUCUGAAGGCAGCCCUGUAUAGGGAAGUUUUUUGACGUUCAAUGUUUUAUAAUGUUUUUAUUUAUGUUGAAAGCCGCCCAGAGUGACUGGGGCAACCCAGUCAGAUGGGUGGGGUAUAAAUAAUAAAAUCAUCAUGGAAUAAAGCGUCUCUAUUUUCGUUGGAGGGCAUUAUUCACACACACACACACACACACACACACACACACACAGCUGUACCCCUGCUAACUCAACUCUCCAACCCUCCCAGCCAUUUUCUCCCACAUUAACCCCUAGAGCUUCCUUUUCCCACCCCAUGCAACUACUAAGCUCACUUUUCCUGGCCUCUUGGGUUUUUCUUCAUGGAAAUCCAAGAUUGUGACGAGGCACUGCAAAUCAUCCAAUGGGGGCUUCCUCCAAUAUGGGCAGCCUCAGGCUGGGGAAGGGUGUUCUACGGGGCUUCCUCUGACCACAACAGGCUGGCAGGCAGGCUGGCAAGUAUCGUGUCUGCCUGAUAAGCAGUAGUGUGUCCAGGAGUUAUGAAUAGCAACAGUGCUGCUGUUUACAUGUUGUGUGCAGAGAGUGCUGCUUUACAUGUUGUCCUCCUUCUCGUCCUGCAUCAUUCCAUUCUUUCAACUUGUCUUCAGAGGCCUGACAUUUUCCAUCUUCAUUUCAAAAACUGGACUCAAUACUCCAGAUGAGCCCUGACUAAUGUGAAAUAAAGGCAACUCUGACUUUCAAGUUAAACUUUUAUUAAUGCUGCCAAAAAUCCCAUAAAGCAUUUUUUGCAGCCACAACAUGCUACCGUCUCCUGUUCAGCUGCUGAUAAGACAGUCCCAGAACAUUGCUUAUAUAGACUAUUGCCAAGUAGUACUUGUAAAAUAAAAAAUUAUUAUUACUAGAAGUUUUUAUUCUACUAAAAAAAGGUCCCUAAUUGAUCAGGUGAAAGUACCCUGACUGAUCCAGCUUUUACAAAUAUUAUUUUUAUCUCUGUUGUUUAUUUUAAAAAGCACUGCGUAAAAAGAAACAUUCUCUUUCCUCUGUCAAAGGAGCAAAUGCCUCUUCUGUCACAGUGCAAGCAGGUUUGUUUGUUUGUUUGGCUUUCGAACUCUUGACUUACAAAAUUAAUCACUCAGUUAAUCCCCGUUGGCUCCACUCAUUUGCAUAUACUUACAUGUGAGUGAGGCUCAUUUAAUAAAGUAGGACUUGAUUCUGAGUAAAGUGAUAUUGUCUCUCCAGCUGCUUGGGACUACAACUCCCAUCAGCUCCAGUCAGCAUAGCUGAGCUGGCUGGGGCUGAUGGGAAUUGCAGUCCAAAACACCUGGAAGGCCCCAAGUUAACAAGGACUGAGGCAUAGAAUUGCUUUAGGAGAUUUAUUUAUUGGGUUGACGACCCUAUUCAUCCCCACCCACCCCCCAAUCCCUCAGGCACUCUAAUUUAAAUUGGGUUUCAAAAAAUUAAAGAAUGCUAGAGUGAUGUUGGAUUAAAAAUAAGUGGCUUCCAGCUGUUUAGGAUUUAAAAUUAUGCAUAGAUUAAUUGGUUUUUAAAAGGUAAAAUUUUAAUGUCAUACUAUUUUAAGAGUUAAGAUUGGGAUUAAAAAAAGAGGGAAAGAAAUUGCUGGACAAACAAUUUGAACUGGAAUACAAAAGAGGGAGGUAUGAGGAGGUCCAGAAAAUAAGUAAAUUUAAAGGUGGAGACGAAAAGAUGAUAUUGUUUUUAAUUGUUCUACUUUCUUUUUUGUCUUAUGUUUUCUUGUUUCUUUAUUUCUUUUUUUUCCUUUCUUUUAGAUUAUGUAUUGUAUAUUUUGAAUUGUGUAUUUCUUUUUUAUGUUUUAUGCUUAAUCUUUUAUUGAAACUUUAAUAAAUAUCAUUUUAAAAAAAAUUAAAUUGGGUUUCAAAUUGUAAUAAAUCUCAAUGCAAUUGUUUUGUUCAACAGGGUGGAAAUUGACACUCCUUGCUGAUAUUAAUUGGUUGCUUGUUCUCUUUGAUGUUGUUUCAAUCAUUUUUAUUGCACCCAGGAUUGGUUGUUUUAUCCUGUUUUUAUUGCAUUGCCUUCCACAUUUUAUUAAAGAAAUGGGACAAAUAAAUUUCAUUUUAUAUUCA